UGUUUCCUUCCUGCCGUCAACACCACGGGGGAGCAAACUGGUGGCUGAAGAAAAAUCACUUCUUAGGAUUUGAAGGUAGAGACCCCUAGUUGCUGCAAAUACUCCUUGCUCAGCGAUUGGAUCUCCAUAUUUAGAUGCCGCCCAGAAAGAAAAAGUCCAUUUUCCAGCUUUCUCACCUGGGGAUUUUUCAGGAGGGUGCUGCAAGCCGGGGCCUGGAAAACUGAAGGCGGAGGAAGGAAAGGAACUGGUAUCCUCCCCACCCCCCUGGCCCGCGUUGAGGAGCGCAUGACAGCGGGCAACUGACGCCCGUGUGGGAGCCUGGGAGCCGCAGAAUCGGAGUCCCGUGGGGUGGGGUGUCCAGAGGAGACCACCAGGGGGCGGCAGAGGCUUGGGGAGGACGCCGGUGCCCUCCCAGAAAACCCAGCGGUUCUGAUCCCUCCCGCUCGUGGAGAAGGGAGUUUGGGGAGACCAAGUCAGGGCUCCAACACAGAGGUCUGAGCCUCCAGAAGCCAAAGUCCCUCUGGUCCACCAGCGAAGGGCCCCAAGACGACAGUGUCUGCGUCCUUUGAUGGCAUGACCGCAGGCAACGGACUUGCCCUCCCCAAACUGGAUGGGCUCAUUUGUGCGAUGGGAACAUGCUAGACACUACCUCCCAAGUAGUCGUGGUUCUGCAUGUAUUCUGGUUCAUGGCCACUGACAGCCCCUCCCCCAUGACCUCCA